UUGUCUAGGUCAUCAGAAAAAGUCUUUAAUUCCGCUCAGCCCUUCAAUAAACAGUUUCUAUGCUAAAAUCGCCAAUGAAGGAUAGCUAAUGGAGGUAGUGGGGAAGGGGCGUGAAAACCACUGACAACUUCCGUAAAAAAUAUGAGCUCAGCACCCCCAGUUGCUGCAAGCUGGUAUUUUGGGUCAAAGCUCCGUAAAAGCUACAAGGAGACAAUGCAAGUGUUGUCAACCCCUGCUCUGUUCAGUGUCUUAUGUGGGAAACAAGGUGAGUGGGAGAGCUUACACAACCUGCAUCUCAGGCAGAUGAUGAAUAUAUUCUAUAACCAAUAUUACAUAACCCAUGCUGAGAAACAUAAAUUGUUAUAUUUUGAAGCAAGGCUUCGGUAUAGAAAAUCACCCAAAGUUAAUGAAAAAUUAAGCUUAAAUCCAUGUUUGUCUCAGUUCCCUAAUCUUAAAGAAAGAUAACCACAUAGAUCUUCUGAAAGUAAUCUGGCACGUUUUGUGAGGAUUUUUUUUUUUAUUAGUAUCAAAUGAGAAGCACCAUACAAAGGACCACACAUGAUGCGCAAGAAAUUAUAAGAUGCAUUCAAGAGAAGAUUUGUAGGAAGUAUGGUAACUAAAUAAACCCUGGUGAGGUUCUCUGAACCCUGCAGAGGAGGUAGGAAACCUGUGGAAAACAAGGAACUGGUGAUUAUGUGGUUAUUUUAUGUAGAGAGCUGUGAAAAGCCUGCACAGAAAAAUCUGCUUUAGGCUUUUCCUAAAUCAGUACUUUACUCAAAUAAUUUUCUGAUUUACAGCUUUGCAAGUAAUCAUUAAUAGCAGUAACAUGUACAGUUAUUCAUACAGCACAAGUAUGCAGCAAAGCACAGCUCACACUACAGGGCAUGACUGCAUGGGAUUACUUAAGGGAAGGCUGAAUUCAAAAAGGCUUAACCAGCUGAUCCAGGCAACACAUUUACACAUCCUUUGGGCAUCAUCAUCCACUCAAACUCCAAGUUAAGCAGAUUGUUGGAGGAAGUACGCAUCUGUGCUAAAGCCAGAGGCUAACCUUUAACUCUGGAUAGAUGAUACAGGAGCGGACCACAGCUCAGGGUGAAAAGUCAUACAGCAUGGAAAAUAGAUAAAGUUGUCAGUGAGCACAUCUAGUCCCUAGGCCAUUCUGAUCCUAAAAUCAGACUACAUUGCUUAAAACAUCAAGUGGAGAAGCAAGGAUACGAAUUUGCAGUAAUUGGAAAAUAAAGCUAGUAAAAAAAAAAAAAAAAA
rnacentral:lncRNA from 1 species